GUGUGUGUGUGUGUGUGUGUGUGUGUGUGUGUGUGUGUGUGUGUGUGUGUGUGUGUGUGUGUGUGUGUGUGUGUGUGUGUGUGUGUGUGUGUGUGGGGGUAUCUAGUUUGUAUCUCUAUUAAGUUAAUCUUUGGUGUGUGUCUAUUUGGUGUGUUUAUCUUUAUGGUGUGUAUCUAUAUGGUGUGUAUCUAUGGUGUGUGUGUAUUGUGGCGUCCCGCCCCUUAAACCUCGGUCCGGAUGGACCCGAGGUUUCAUCCAGGACGGAAUAUACUACCGUCAUCCACCAGCCGGCGACGGAGAGCGCCCGUUGAACCCCAAUCAGCGAGAUGGGAGACACCUGGCUGGACAGCCAGGAAGACAUUUUAAAAGGAGCACGAGGACUGACAUUUGGGAGGAACGGGAGCGAGGAAGAAGGAAGCGCUCGGGUCUGCGAGCGACUAGAGGCCCACGGAGGCCCUAGAGACCGUCUAUCUUGGAUAUUUAACUGCAGUUCUGUGAGUAUCCCAACUUAACCAUGAAGAUGAACUGCAAACUGUAAGUCAUUAAUUUGUCAUUACUCUUGGGCACAUUGAUGUAUUUUGGCUUCCUGGUGGGUUAACCUGUUACCUGAAGGUUGAUCUGAGUAGUAAGGAUGUUUUAUUGGUUCAUGGGUUACUUAGGUGUUUGGUUUAUGUUGGUUUUAAUGAUUUGUUAAAAUGGUUACAGGCUCCAAGUUAUUGUUGUAAGAUGGAGUAAUGGGUUUGGUUCUGAUAUUUUUAGUCUUCUUUCAUUCUACUCUCCUGAGCUCUGCAUCUUCAUCACAUGAGUGUUGCUCUACUGAUGAGGUCGUGGUCUGAGUGAGCAGAGGUGCAUACUGGGAUACAGAGCUGUCUCGAGUCUACAGUUCUGUAGACGCGCCCCCUCAGGGGAAACCGAGUGUUUGAGAAACUGUCGUGACGUCAGUUACAUGGACUGGAAUGUUCUUAAAGAUGGAGACAGGGAUUCAGAAGGAGAAACACCAGGGGGAGAUGAGGGGCUCCUCAUCUCAACGACUAAAACACAACUUCAGUCUGACACAGAGAAUCAUGGAACACAUUCAACAGUCCCCUCCAGGCAUCGUGACUCCUCAGGAACAGUUUCAUUUCCAAGAAGGUCUUAUUUGGGGCCAUCCCCAUAUGGAUCCUGCUCCUCAAGAGCCACCCCCCUCCACUGGGUGGUCUUCUGAACAGAUGACCUCCUUCCUGUCCUCAGGCUGACUAAAGCUGCACCGUUUGCAUCUGUGAAGGCCCCUCAUUCAGGAAACCACUGGACUACAAAGACAUGACUUCAGAGAUGUUGAAUCAACCUGGGACACAUUUUGGACACGCCAAGCAUAAUCCAUCACCAAUGUGGGACGCCACUGAAGAAUGCUGUACAUAAUUUGCGUCUCUAGAGACAUUGGUUGUUCUGUUCUGGGUGCCCUGGCAGGAGAGCUGGGGGGGGGAUGAUGGAAUGUAAUUUGCUAUGAGGUUUAUACCCUGCAUGAUUGUUUGGCCUUUUAUGGCUCAGUGGUGUGUGUGUUUGGGUUUGACAUGAGAUGGAAGAUUUUUGAGCAUCUUUAGGGUUCUACUGUGUGUCUCCCACUCACACCUGGCAUGGGGUUCUACGUGCCUGUCCUGGGUCCUAUGUGUGUGUCCGGCUUGCUUUGACAGUGAUAAUGUUCAUACAGGGGUCUGUGUGAUUGGCUUGGGAUAUUGGAAUGGUCAACUAAAUCAUACCUGAUGGACGGCCACACGUUUACUUAAGGGCCUCCAGUAGACAUGAAGAGCCCUGAGCGAUGCUCCGGAGCGAUAUCCAACACACUGGGCAGGAAGGAGAGUAUCCAACUCAAGUGUAAAAGGAUGCAAGCGGCGUUUUCAGAUCAGUGACUUCAAACUAGGACUACACCAAUCGGGAUCAAUGGAGGAUGGACACCUAAAGGCAUUCCACAAGGAGAGUCUGACGUUGGAAAGGGACCAAAAUGGAUAUUCAAGAUGACCUUCAGACCUGUAAUGAGACGGCUCUUCCUACCUGGCUGGAUUGAUGGAGAGCCCUGUGGAUCUUGUCUUGCUCUCAGUUGCACGUCUUCUCAGGCUGAACUGUAUUUGUUUUGGACAGGACUAGCUGAAUUGGUUCCCUUAAAUCAGAACCAACCCGGGAACUCCAGCUAGUGCGCUCUUCGAGCUGAAGUUGUGCUCUUCAGCUGAGGAGGUACGGAAAACUUCACUGGGGCUUCAAGGUGUAAAGAGGAGAAUGUUCAAAGUGUUCUAUGGUACUCUGAUGAAGACCGUUGUUGUGUUCCACUGGCUGCGAGGAAGAACCCUCACAUCUUCCUCUUGGCCUUUCUCCUCUGAGAAUCCUGGCGCCAUCUUGAAGGAUAUUCCAGCUCAUGUAACUGAUGUCACGACAGAUUCUCAAACACUUGGUUUCUCCUGAGGGGCGCGUCUAUGGAACUGAAGACUUCAGACAGCACUGUAUCCCAGCAUGCAUCUCUGCUCACUCAGACCACACCCCCAUGAGUAGGAUACAACACUCUAGUGAUGGAGAUGUAGAGUUUUAUAAAUAACGAGGGAGCAGACUAAGGUGAUUAGAACACAAUGGCAUGUCAAGUCUGUAAAUCUUUAAGCCAUGAAGAUGGUUGGAUAGUUCAGGAAUUGGGCUUAUUUUUAUUAUGGGCAGUGUUGGCUGGCAUGAUUUGCUGUUGGUGAUGAGGCGGUCAGGGUGACGUUGCAGGGCUAUGGUCGGCUCUCUGUGAGCUCAACGUUUAGAUUUGCUCUGUAUGGUUUGUACCCUGAAUAAUCUAGAUAAUUGUAAAAUGUAGACACGGUUUUGUAUUGAAUGAUUCCCAGUUUUUAGGUUUGAGGUUGUUGUGGGACGUACAUGGUAGUUUGGUUCUUCGUAUGGUUUUGAGUGAUAUAACUUGUACACACUGGGUGCAUAAUAAUGUAAAGGUACACUGAAUAGUAUUAAUGACCAACAGCAACAAACGGAUCUCCUCAAGGUAAGUCUGUUGGCUGUGUUUUAAUGAAGACCAUCGCUGGACUUCAGGAUCUUCCUCCGUUCAGCUCAAGGUGAGGCGCUGGUUCUGUUUUUCUUUGGUUGGUUCCGGCCGGAAUGUUCGUAUUCCAGUCGGACGGUUUGUGCUUCCCGCCGUGGAAGGUUCUGAGUGCGGCCACUUGAUUUAGUCUCAAUGGUUAGCAUAGAACGUUGUAGUCUUGACAACCAUAAGAAACCACCUGGCAGUUAGUUUGACGGGAGUCCCCUGAGGGAAUCUGGCGGAACGUUCUUGAUUGUAUUUGAGUAACCUCGAAGCGUUGCCAACGGAAACAAUUUUUCAGUCGGUCUCCAUUGGUAAUUGUUGCCCCCUAUCUUAAACAACUAAAGUUUGAUAUUAAAUACAUACUGAGACGUACGUCGUACAAUAUGUUGAUAAUUUCCGAUGGUUGCGCCGUACUUUUAACCACGAUGACGUUGCGGGACUCUCACUGCGUACAAAACCGCGUUCUACUUGCGGGCCCAUUUUUGACAUCAUUGAAGGCUGAAAAUCAUUUCAAGGUGGAAGAUCAUUUGACAUUUCUUCAACGGAACCAGCACCUGAAUAUGGCUGAGUAUAUUUGAUUUAAUAUCGAUACUGCUUGGUGUUCUUUGUUAUUUCAGCUUUUGUACGUUCUAAAUAUCUGCUGUCAUUAAUUGCCACAGAAGUUAAACCCUACCCAAUGGAAUGACGUUAAACAACGACUUUGGUGCAGAGUUACCAACUGGAUAAUAUCAAAGCUAAAAUAAUGGCCGUCAUUCCCACAUGUUACAGUAGAAGAUACUCUAGAACUGUACAAGGUAAUAUGUAGUUUGUCCCAAGGUGUCUGCCUCCUCACCCAGAGCCAGACCUCCACCUCCUCACCCAGAGCCAGACCUCCACCUCCUCACCCAGAGCCAGACCUCCACCUCCUCACCCAGAGCCA
ensembl:lncRNA